rnacentral:rRNA from 1 species
CGGGUGGAUGAGUGGCGAACGGGUGAGUAACACGUGAGUAACCUGCCCCUGACUUCGGGAUAAGCCCGGGAAACUGGGUCUAAUACCGGAUACGACUGCCGGACGCAUGUCUGGUGGUGGAAAGUUUUUUCGGUUGGGGAUGGGCUCGCGGCCUAUCAGUUUGUUGGUGAGGUAAUGGCUCACCAAGACGACGACGGGUAGCCGGCCUGAGAGGGCGACCGGCCACACUGGGACUGAGACACGGCCCAGACUCCUACGGGAGGCAGCAGUGGGGAAUAUUGCACAAUGGGGGAAACCCUGAUGCAGCGACGCAGCGUGCGGGAUGACGGCCUUCGGGUUGUAAGCCGCUUUCAGCAGGGAAGAAGCGCAAGUGACGGUACCUGCAGAAGAAGUACCGGCUAACUACGUGCCAGCAGCCGCGGUAAUACGUAGGGUACGAGCGUUGUCCGGAACUAUUGGGCGUAAAGAGCUCGUAGGUGGUUGGUCACGUCUGCUGUGGAAACGCAACGCUUAACGUUGCGCGUGCAGUGGGUACGGGCUGACUAGAGUGCAGUAGGGGAGUCUGGAAUUCCUGGUGUAGCGGUGAAAUGCGCAGAUAUCAGGAGGAACACCGGUGGCGAAGGCGGGACUCUGGGCUGUAACUGACACUGAGGAGCGAAAGCAUGGGGAGCGAACAGGAUUAGAUACCCUGGUAGUCCAUGCCGUAAACGUUGGGCACUAGGUGUGGGGGGCAUUCCACGUUCUCCGCGCCGUAGCUAACGCAUUAAGUGCCCCGCCUGGGGAGUACGGUCGCAAGGCUAAAACUCAAAGGAAUUGACGGA